rnacentral:rRNA from 1 species
UUGUGACAGGGGAGGUAGUGACAUGGACUGUCACAGGUGUAUCUCUCUGGAGGGCAACUAAGAAACCAGCAGCCGCGGUAUUUCUCUCUCUCUUAGCGCAGAUGAAAAUUGAUGCCGUUAAAACGCUCGUAGUUGAAUUUCUGCUGUAUUGCAUUUUCUCUUUUUAUAUGAGUUCUUGCAUUCCCGCUUAUUUCAGUAUGAAUUUUUUAUUAUUACUGAAUGUUUACUUCGAGAAACCUAGAGUGCUCAAAGCAGGCUUCCGCCUUGAAUAGUUUAGCAUGGAAUAAUAAAGUACGACUUUGGUUCUAUUUUGUUGGUUUUAGGUCCCAACGCAACGGUUAAUAGCAACAGGUUGGGGCCUUCGUAUUUAACUGUCCAAAGGUGAAAUUCUUAGAC